rnacentral:rRNA from 1 species
AGUGAACGCUGGCGGUAGGCCUAACACAUGCAAGUCGAACGGCAGCACAGUAAGAGCUUGCUCUUACGGGUGGCGAGUGGCGGACGGGUGAGGAAUACAUCGGAAUCUACUUUUUCGUGGGGGAUAACGUAGGGAAACUUACGCUAAUACCGCAUACGACCUACGGGUGAAAGCAGGGGAUCUUCGGACCUUGCGCGAUUGAAUGAGCCGAUGUCGGAUUAGCUAGUUGGCGGGGUAAAGGCCCACCAAGGCGACGAUCCGUAGCUGGACUGAGAGGAUGAUCAGCCACACUGGAACUGAGACACGGUCCAGACUCCUACGGGAGGCAGCAGUGGGGAAUAUUGGACAAUGGGCGGAAGCCUGAUCCAGCCAUACCGCGUGGGUGAAGAAGGCCUUCGGGUUGUAAAGCCCUUUUGUUGGGAAAGAAGAGCAGCAGGUUAAUACCCCGCUGUUCUGACGGUACCCAAAGAAUAAGCACCGGCUAACUUCGUG